rnacentral:rRNA from 1 species
GACGAACGCUGGCGGCGUGGAUUAGGCAUGCAAGUCGAACGGUAUCAUCCUUUCGGGGGUGAGAGAGUGGCGAACUGGUGAGUAACACGUAGGUUAUCUACCCUCAAGACGGGGACAACCCAGGGAAACUUGGGCUAAUACCGGAUGUGAGCAACUUUUAGUUGUUUGAAAGGUGGCGUAAGCUGUCGCUUGGGGAUGAGCCUGCGUCCUAUUAGUUAGUUGGUGAGGUAACGGCUCACCUAGGCAAUGAUAGGUAGGCGGCCUUAACGGGUGGUCGCCCACACUGGGAUUGAGAUACGGCCCAGACUCCUACGGGAGGCAGCAGUCGAGAAUAGUCUACAAUGGUCGGAAGACUGAUAGUGCGACGCCGCGUGAACGAUGAAUCCCUUCGGGUGUAAAGUUCUUUUAUAUGUGAGCAGUGCUUCUUAUAUUAAACAGUAUGGGGAGAGAGAUAUUAGCAUAUGAAUAAGCAACGGCUAACUCCGUGCCAGCAGCCGCGGUAAACUCGU